UUAUCGUACGACGGAGGCGCGAGGGCUGUCGCUGACCUUUUCAAAGGUCGUGCACGCCCGAGCGUUCUCAAACACAAUCCACCUCACCCUUUGUGCACAACCGCGCUGGGUCUCCCCUUUGGCUCGUCCGGAGGGAGGGCUCGCGUCUUUCAUACAAACACCUUUUUAGUUUACGAAUGUCAUUAGUUUGCGAUCACACGCAACCAAUACAACUUUCAACAACGGAUCUCUUGGCUCUCGCAUCGAUGAAGAACGCAGCGAAAUGCGAUACGUAAUGUGAAUUGCAGAAUUCAGUGAAUCAUCGAAUCUUUGAACGCACCUUGCGCCCCUUGGCAUUCCGAGGGGCACACCCGUUUGAGUGUCGUGAAAUUCUCAAACCCGCUUGGUUUCUCGACCAAGGAGGGUUUGGAUCUUGGAGGCAUUUUGCUGGCUUGAAGGAAAAGCCGGCUCCUCUUAAACGCAUUAGUGGGGUCCCCUUUGCCGAUCCUCGGACGUGAUAAGAUGUUUAGACGUCUCGGGAUUUGCUCUGUCGUAUGGGAACCUGCUUACAACCGUCUCGCAGGAGACACCGUUCGAGUUUUGCUCGACGCACGAACCUUGACCUCAAAUCGGGUGA
rnacentral:rRNA from 1 species